UACUGUAACCUCAGCCGCGAGCCAAUCAGGUCCAAAACCGAAAAGUGGUCAGUGACCUACGAAAUGUACCCCAAUAAGUUGUAUCCGCCAUAUUGUUCCGGUACGGGUUACGUGACUAGUAUGGACGUCGUGGAGAAAGUGUAUAAGGUCUCUAAGGACGUCCCGUUCAUUUAUCUAGAGGACGUGUAUGUGUCUCUGUGUUUGAAUAGACUCGGGUUAAACGCCACGCACCUGCCGGGAUUUCACGCCGCCCUCCAGAAAAUCGGAUGUGAGUACCAAUCGAAAAAGUUAGUGACGUCACACCGACUGACCCCUAAAAUGUUGCAUGAAGCGUGGAAUUUGAAAAAUUGUAGCAAGAAAGCGUGAGCAUAUCGGUGCGUGUGAUUUUUAAUGCCUUUCAACGAAAAAAAUUGACAUUUACUCAGGGAUAUAUGUAUAUAUGAUGAUCAUGAACAAAAGAAGUUUGAAGUUCUU
rnacentral:misc_RNA from 1 species